rnacentral:lncRNA from 1 species
AUGGCAGCAGCUUGCAUCCCAAGCAGUAGCCCUGAGCCUGGGCACCCUUACCCCCGGACCCAGAAACCUCAGCAUCCCCUAAGCUCACCCCCGUCAAGCCUCCGUCCUGGGUCCUGGAGGAGGCUCCUGCCCGGCUCCUCCUCACUCCCACUGCUCGCUCUCUCUCUCUUUCUCUCUCUCUCAACCCCAGAACUCACUCGCUGCUCCCCGCUGACGUCUCGGGCCUUUGCUCAAGGUGUCCCCGCCGCCCAACAGGAUCUUGCUCAUCCUUGGGAUUCUGCUAAAAGACCGCCUUUCCUUGGAAGCCUCCCAGGGCUGGCCGGGGGGCCUGGCGUCUGCACCUCCACACCCUCGGUGUCACGACUCGGACCCACACGGGGCGUCCACCCCGUCCGUGCAGCACCCCCGCAGCCCCGGGGCGGGCGGGCCCUGCAGACAGCGCGCACCCUGGCCACCCCGCACCUAGCCGCGCACCACCUGCGGGCGGAGGCCGGCACCGCGGGGAAGGCUGGAAAACGGAAGGAAGGAAAGUCUCGGCGGGGGGCGGGGGGGCGGGGGGGCGGCGGCUGCACUCCGAGAGCCACGAAGCAUCCUCAGGAACGUCCCCUUUGGAAAACGGAGGGCAAGACAUUUGUCCACCCCGGCGGCCGCCCCUUCACAGGCCGAAAAGGGCGGGCCCCCGGCGGCCCCGUGGAGCCCGUGGCCCCGGGGAAGCGGGGCCCGCCACGUCCCCACGCCCCGCUCCUCGCCGCCCCGCCCGCCGCGCGACCCGCGCCCCCGGCAGGCCCAGAAACUCGGGCGCGGCGGAGCCCAGCCGGUGCCCGCCGCGCCCUCCCCGCGCCCGCCGCCGCGCCGGGGCGGGUCCCGGCCGCGCCCGCCCCGCCCCCGCCUCCGCCCCCGCCCCUGCUCCCGUCUCACCUCGCCCGCUCGGCCGCCGCCGCCGCCGCCGCCGCCGCCAGCUGGGGCCCGGCCGGAAGUGACGUCACCGAGGCGCGCGCAGGCGCAGGUGCGGGCAGCGCGAGGGCACGUGACGGCCGGCGCGCGCGCCCGGCGGGGCGGGGCCUCGGUGGGGCGGGGCCGCGGCGGGGGUCGGGGGUGCGGGGUGCGGGGCGCGGGGUGGGGUUCGCACCCCCUCGGGGAGCGCCGCUGAGGGCUGGGUGCGGCGGGGUCCCGGGGGUCCGGGGCUGGCGGGCCGGAGACCUCACAGCCCGCGGGUCGGGGUCGGGGUCUAGUCGGGGGCAGGUGGGGGGUGGGGAACUGCGCCGGCGCUGUCCCCUGGGCCCCCAGCCUGGGUCGGAUGAGCCAGGCGGGGGAGCAGAUGGUCCCAUCCCCAGUAAAGAGGCUACCACCGGGGCUAGGGAAUGA